rfam:Triticum aestivum genome assembly, contig: Triticum_aestivum_CS42_TGACv1_scaffold_132640_2BL
CGCAUACUCCCUCCGUCCAAAAAAUCUUGUCCCAAUCUUGUUCCUUAAAUGGAUGUAUAUAACACUAAUUUGGUGCUAGAUACAUCCAUUUGAGAGACAAGUUUUUCCGGACGGUGGGAGUACUGU